AACGAACGCUGGCGGCAGGCUUAACACAUGCAAGUCGAGCGCCCCGCAAGGGGAGCGGCAGACGGGUGAGUAACGCGUGGGAAUCUACCCUUUUCUACGGAAUAACGCAGGGAAACUUGUGCUAAUACCGUAUGUGUCCUUCGGGAGAAAGAUUUAUCGGGAAAGGAUGAGCCCGCGUUGGAUUAGCUAGUUGGUGGGGUAAAGGCCUACCAAGGCGACGAUCCAUAGCUGGUCUGAGAGGAUGAUCAGCCACAUUGGGACUGAGACACGGCCCAAACUCCUACGGGAGGCAGCAGUGGGGAAUAUUGGACAAUGGGCGCAAGCCUGAUCCAGCCAUGCCGCGUGAGUGAUGAAGGCCCUAGGGUUGUAAAGCUCUUUCACCGAGAAGAUAAUGACGUAUCCGGAGAAGAAGCCCGUAA
rnacentral:rRNA from 1 species